rnacentral:rRNA from 1 species
UUCCUACGGGAGGCAGCAGUGGGGAAUAUUGGGCAAUGGGCGCAAGCCUGACCCAGCAACGCCGCGUGAAGGAAGAAGGCUUUCGGGUUGUAAACUUCUUUUAAGAGGGAAGAGCAGAAGACGGUACCUCUUGAAUAAGCCACGGCUAACUACGUGCCAGCAGCCGCGGUAAUACGUAGGUGGCAAGCGUUAUCCGGAUUUAUUGGGUGUAAAGGGCGUGUAGGCGGGAGCGCAAGUCAGAUUUGAAAACUCAGGGCUCAACCCUGAGCCUGCAUUUGAAACUGUGUUUCUUGAG